AUCAAGGUGUCUGAUUAAAGUAAUAAACUGUAAAUUUAUUUAAGAAAUAACUAUUCCCUUGAUA
rnacentral:tRNA from 1 species